AGCAGAUUAAAUUCAACAUCUAAAAUAGUUUUUAGCACAAAGGCCUAAUCAUAACAUCAAAUAAAAAUCUCAUCUAAAACAUAGUCAUGUAAAAUCAUAAGCAAUACUUAAGGAAUAGAAAAGUAUGUAACAAAGUCUCAUCCUGUUACGUAUCAGAGCACCUAAAGACACACGUGAGAAGGAAACCACUCACGACAGCAACUACAACAACUUAUUCUCGAUCACCUGCAAGUUACUCAUACGAAGAGCAACAUUUCCAAGCAGAAUGGGUGAGAUUUCACAAACAAUAAUAUUAAGCAUAUAAUUCAUCAAUUAUAUUUAACAACAUAACAACAUCAUAAAUUUCAUCAUAGAUAGUAAAAUAAUCAUAUAACACUUCAUUAACAGCUCAUGUAUAGAACACAACUUAACGACUUGACGACUUAACAACUUGACUCGACAAUGCGACUUCGACUCGACUAUGCAACUUAUCUUCUUAAAUCAUGCAUGUGGUACCAAUCCAGGACAUCAAGCCCUCAAUGUAUUUAAGUAUUAAUAUACUUCCAGGGCAUCAAGCCCUCAACUUAAUUGAGCAAAGGCUCCAGGGCAUCAAGCCCCCAACGUGUUGAGCAAAGGCUCCAGGGCAUCAAGCCCCCAACAUAAAUGAGUAUGCAUGGACUCAACAACUUAACAUCUUAGAAACAUCGACAUCUUAUACAACUCCAAUAAUUUGGAACAACUCCUUACAUCAUAGACCGACUCAUGCAGCUUAGUUAAUAAACAACAGCAACAUAGGCAGUAUAUAAAACAUCUCAAGAUAUAACAAUAUCAAAUAAUAAUCAACAACUUAAACAUCUUAAAUAAUUCACAUAAUGCAUAUACAAAUAUAUUACAUUACUAUCAACAUUAAAUCAUAUUAUAACAGCUUCACAGAUCAUCAAUAAUAUUAUAUUCAACCUCCAUUCCUACCCUAAGGAUCAACUCAUAACAUCUCGUGCGACAAAGAUCGCAAAACCCUAAACAAGGUAUUAUGUCUUACAGGAGCUCGCGAGGCGAGGACCAUUGCUCGCUAUGGCGAGUUCAGGAAAUGGGAAUUCGCCUUGGCGAGUAAGCUACUCGCCUUGGCGAACAAGAAACUGGGUGCUCUCGGGAAUUUGAUAUUUUUCACCCAAAAAUUUAUUUUUAAACUUUCUUGUGUUUAAUCUCAAUCUAAAAUCUUGCCUAAUCAUUAUUGUACAUAUUCAGGCACUCAAAAUCAUCUAAAGUUCGACUUAAGGAGUUAAAUCACAAAAUCAUAUUUCCUCACUGGUCAAACUCGCUAUGGCGAGUGAUCUGCUCGCUAUGGUGAGCUGCAAGUUGUAACUCGCGAGGCGAAGGAAAGUUGCUCGCGAGGCGAGCGAUGAAGUUCAUCACUCGCGAGGCGAGCGAUGAAUUCAAGCUCGGGAAGAAUGCAGAUUUUUACGAAAAUCCACCUAAUUUCAUGGUUCAAAGCUUAAAAUUGAUUCUAAACAUCACCCUAUGGAUUAUCUAAGGUUCGUAAACACUUUCUACUUCAAUUCUACAAUUCUACAUCAUCAAACCAUCAAUUCUCACUCUUAACCCUAAUUUCCAACUUUCAAAACUAACCUACACAUGUUAAAUCUAAUCAUCAGAAUUAUCAGCUUAAGAGAAUUGAAUGUUAGUCUCACCCUUACCUUAAUCAAAAUCGAAAUCGCAGCUUCCUCUAGGUUCUCUUCUCUUCUCUUGACUUUUUCUCCCUUUUCUCCAAAACUAAACGUACGUGAAAACUAUUCACUUAGGUUUUCUCCUAUUUAUAUCUCUUCCCAUCUAUUUUAUCUUAUUUCCUCUUUUUCCCACAAAACUCUCUAAAAUCUCAAAACAACCCCUCAUCUCAAUAUUUAUUUUAUUUUCAAAUCUUAUUCUAUUAAAUAAUAAAAUAAUACCUCUCAAAUAAAAUAUCACACAUCACAUAAUCACAUAAAAUUCAUAUAAAUUAUCUUAAUAGACUCUAAACUCUUUAAAAUAAUUAAAUAAAUAAAGAGGGCGUUACAUACAGUAGGGUACCCCAUCCACAAGGAUUAGUGUUAAAGCACAAUACAAAAGUGAUGGAAGCUUCAUUAUUGAAGAAUCAACAAGAGGAACAUGAUGCACUGCAGUUGCUUAUAACACAAGAUAUAGAAAUUGUAAGCUCGUUUAGGGUUAGUUACAUAGAAUAACUAACUUCUUGAUUUUGAUUUGUAGGAAUGUUAGGACAUGAUAGAGUAAAGCUAGUACAUAAUAACAUAUAGUGUAUAAGCAAUAACAAACUAUAUAAGCUUCAUGUAACCACCUUUCAUAAUAAUGAGAAAUUAUGCAUUCUCUUCAAUAUUCUUUCUCUAGUUUUUUCUUUUUCACUUCAAUUUCUUGUCACUCAAUAAUUAGAGCCCACAACCACAAUGGGUGAACUUAUUGAUCUUGACACCCUAGAGACUUAACUACCUCUUGCUUUGAUCCUAGAGAAGCUCGAGACAAAGUAAUUUAGCAUUGUGAGAAAAAAUGGUCAAUACUCGGUGAGCAAAGAGUAAAAAGGUGGCUUGCAAAAAACAUACACCCUACUCUAGAGCUAACAUGUCAAAAUAUUUAUUGAUGUUGGAUAUUUAAAAAACGGUUCAACUAGUUGAUGACUAUAUCAGCCUGCAAAGAGAUGAAAUUGAAGUGGAACAUUAC
rnacentral:lncRNA from 1 species